AUUGCUUCUCGGCCUUUUGGCUAAGAUCAAGUGUAGUAUCUGUUCUUAUCAGUUUAAAAAGUUACUACAUAACACCCCUCAAUGCAUCCACUCAAUAAACAAAGAGAAAUGAGUAUUAUGUUGGACAUAAAAAUACAAAGUUUAAAGCAUCUGCUUACAUGCACAUAUGUCUUAUGUUUUGUAUCUUAAUAGGAAUCACCAUAACCUACUUACCUGAGGUACUAUUU
ensembl:snRNA U2 U2 spliceosomal RNA